GAAAGUAAACAAGGGCGCAUGGAGGAUGCCUAGGCUCUCGGAGGCGAAGAAGGACGUGAUAAGCUGCGAAAAGUUACGGUAAGGCGCAAAUAGCCCUAGACCCGUAAAUAUCCGAAUGGGGCAACCCGGCCAGCAAUGGCCAUACCGCCAAGCGGUAAGCCAACGCGGGGAACUGAAACAUCUAAGUACCCGCAGGAAAAGAAAAUAACAAUGAUUCCGCCAGUAGUGGCGAGCGAACGCGGAACAGCCCAAACCACUCGUGUUACGGCACGAGUGGGGUAGAAGGAUCCACGAUACGGCAAGAAAUAAGUUAGCAGAAUACGAUGGAAAUCGUAGCCAAAGACGGUGACAGCCCAGUACGCGAAAACCGACAGAAGCCCAGUGGACACCUGAGUAACCCAGGACACGAGAAAUCCGGGGCGAAUCAGCGGGGCCCAUCCCGUAAGGCUAAAUACUCCCGAGAGACCGAUAGCGAACCAGUACUGUGAAGGAAAGGUGAAAAGAACCUCGAACAGAGGAGUGAAAGAGACCCUGAAACCAUGCGCCUACAAGCGGUCGGAGCAUGUUAAAAUGUGACGGCGUGCCUUUUGCAUAAUGAACCUACGAGUUACUCUCGCUGGCAAGGUUAAGCGAUUCAGUCGCGCAGCCGAAGCGAAAGCAAGUCCGAAUAAGGCGUACAGUCAGCGGGAGUAGACGCGAAACCAAGUGAUCUACCCUUGGUCAGGUUGAAGGUUGGGUAACACCAACUGGAGGACCGCACCGAUAAGCGUUGAAAAGCUUACGGAUGAACUGAGGGUAGGAGUGAAAGGCCAAUCAAACUUGGAGAUAGCUCGUACUCCCCGAAAUGCAUUUAGGUGCAGCCUCGAAGUAAAGUGAUAGAGGUAGAGCGACUGAUAAGAUGCGAGGGCUUCACCGCCUAUCAAGUCUUGACAAACUCCGAAUACUAUCACUUGAUCUUUGGGAGUGAGGGCAUGGGUGCUAAGGUCCAUGUCCGAAAGAGGAACAACUCAGACCACCAGCUAAGGUCCCGAAAUAAGGGCUAAGUUGAAUAAACGAAGUAAAACUGCAAAGACAGCUAGGAUGUUGGCUUGGAAGCAGCCAUUCAUUUAAAGAGUGCGUAACAGCUCACUAGUCGAGGAGUUUUGCAUGGAUAAUAAUCGGGCAUAAGCCCUUUACCGAAGCUGUGGAUGUCGUAAGACAUGGUAGGGGAGCAUUCCGGCGGCGACGAAGGCCGUCCUCGAGGACGACUGGAGCUUUCGGAAAAGCAAAUGUAGGUAUAAGUAACGAUAAAGGGGGCGUGAAACCCCCUCGCCAUAAGACUAAGGAUUCCUGAUCAACGCUAAUCGGAUCAGGGUAAGUCGGGCCCUAAGGCGCAGCCGAACGGCGUAGCCGAUGGAAGAAACGGUAAAGAUUCCGUUACUGGAUAUAGGAGCGAUGUGGAGACGGAGAAGUGACACACCCGCCUGCCGACGGAAGCGCAGGUUAAAGGAAGUAGGUAAACGCCGGGUAGGCAAAUCCGCCUGGCGUGCCGAAGCUGACAGUAUCGAGAGCCCCCGGGCAAUCGAAUAGCGGUGGUAAUCAGGCUCCCAAGAAAAUCCGCUAAGCAUAUUCUAUAUUCACCCGUACCCCAAACGGACACACGUAGUCGGGUAGAAUAUACCAAGGCGCUCGAAAGACUCACGGUUAAGGAACUAGGCAAAUUGACCCUGUAACCUCGGGAAAAAGGGUCCCCAGUAAGAUGGGGCGCAGAGAAUAGGUCCAGGCAACUGUUUAACAAAAACACAGGGCUGUGCGAAAUUUCAAGAUGAAGUAUACAGCCUGACACCUGCCCGGUGCCGGAAGGUUAAGAGGAGAGCUUAUCGCAAGAGAAGGCUUGAAUUGAAGCCCCGGUAAACGGCGGCCGUAACUAUAACGGUCCUAAGGUAGCGAAAUUCCUUGUCGGGUAAGUU
rnacentral:rRNA from 1 species